rnacentral:rRNA from 1 species
GACAGAUUGAGAGCUCUUUCUUGAUUCUGUGGGUGGUGGUGCAUGGUCCGUUUUUAGUUGGUGGAGUAAUUUGUCUGGUUAAUUCCGUUAACGAACGAGACCUUAACCUAUUAAAUAGUCGUGGGAACCCAGGUCUUUCAUCCUCUUUCUCAGCAAUGGGGGGGAGGAAACCAUUAUCAUAUUGGUACCCUCUGGGUAUCAUGUGGUAGUGGUGAGGAUCUGAUAGUGUUCUUAUAGGCUUCUUAGAGGGACUCUUUGCAUCUUUAGCAAAUGGAAGUUUGAGGCAAAAACAGGUCUGUGAUGCCCUUCGAUGUUCUGGGCUGCACGCGCGUUACAAUGACGCAUGCAACGAGUUAUUAAAUUCCUGGCCCGAUGGGGUUGGGUAAUCUUUUAAAGUGCGUCGUGAUGGGGAUAGAGCAUUGCAAUUAUUGUUCUUGAACGAGGAAUUCCUAGUAAUUGCAGGUCAUCAACCUGCGAUGAUUACGUCCCUGCCCUUUGUACACACCGCC